CCUACGGGUGGCAGCAGUGAGGAAUAUUGGUCAAUGGGCGCGAGCCUGAACCAGCCAAGUCGCGUGAGGGAAGACGGUCCUAUGGAUUGUAAACCUCUUUUGUCGGGGAGCAAAAGACGCCACGUGUGGCGUUCCGAGAGUACCCGAAGAAAAAGCAUCGGCUAACUCCGUGCCAGCAGCCGCGGUAAUACGGAGGAUGCGAGCGUUAUCCGGAUUUAUUGGGUUUAAAGGGUGCGCAGGCGGAAGAUCAAGUCAGCGGUAAAAUUGAGAGGCUCAACCUAUUCGAGCCGUUGAAACUGGUUUUCUUGAGUGAGCGAGAAGUAUGCGGAAUGCGUGGUGUAGCGGGGAAAUGCAUAGAUAUCACGCAGAACUCCGAUUGCGAAGGCAGCAUACCGGCGCUCAACUGCCACUGACAUUGAUGCUCGAAAGUGUGGGUAUCAAACAGGAUUAGAUACCCCUGUAGUC
rnacentral:rRNA from 1 species